GGUAACGGAGAAUUAGGGUUCGAUUCCGGAGAAGGAGCCUGAGAAACGGCUACUACACCUACGGGUAGGCAGCAGGGACGUAAAUUACCCAAUCCUAAUUCAGGGAGGUAGUGACAAGAAAUAGCAAGCCGGGAGAUUCGUCUCUACGGCAUUGAAAUGAGAACAGUGUAAAUCUCUUAGCGAGGAACAAUUGGAGGGCAAGUCAGGUGCCAGCAGCCGCGGUAAUUCCUGCUCCAAUAGCGUAUAUUAAAGUUGUUGCAGUUAAAAAGCUCGUAGUUGAACUUCUGCCCAUUUUAGAUAGGUUCUCCUAGCUAAAAUGGGCAUACGUUUGCAAACCAAACUCGGCCUUCACUGGUUCGACUUGGGGAGUAAACAUUUUACUGUGAAAAAAUUAGAGUGUUCAAGGCAGGUUUUAGCCCGGAUACAUCAGCAUGGAAUAAUGGAAUAGGACUGAGUCCAUUUUAUUGGUUAUUGGAUUUGGUAAUGAUUAAUAGGGACAGUUGGGGGCAUUAGUAUUUAAUAGUCAGAGGUGAAAU
rnacentral:rRNA from 1 species